rnacentral:rRNA from 1 species
AUUGAACGCUGGCGGCAGGCCUAACACAUGCAAGUCGAGCGAGCGGCGGACGGGUGAGUAAUGUCUGGGAAACUGCCUGAUGGCGGGGGAUAACUACUGGAAACGGUAGCUAAUAACGCCUCCCCUCAGAUGUGCCCAGAUGGGAUUAGCUAGUAGGUGGGUUAAUGGCCCACCUAGGCGACGAUCCCUAGCUGGGAUGAGAGGAUGACCAGCCACACUGGAACUGAGACACGGUCCAGAUGCCUACGGGAGGCAGAAGUGGGGAAUAUUGAACAUUGGGCGAAAGCCGGAUGCAGCCAUGCCGCGUGUGUGAAGAAGGCCUUCGGGUUUUAAAGCACUUUCAGCGGGGAGGCGUUACCCGCAGAAGAAGCACCGGCUAACUCCGUGCCAGCCGCCGCGGUAAUUC